UGCGNAUGGGGGAACCCUGACGCAGCGACNCCGCGUGGGUGAUGAAGGCCUUCGGGUCGUNAAGCCCUGUCAGGUGGGAAGAAACGUAUCGAUGUUAAUACCAUCGAUACUUGACGGUACCAUCGGAGGAAGCACCGGCUAACUCCGUGCCAGCAGCCGCGGUAAUACGGAGGGUGCAAGCGUUGUUCGGAAUUACUGGGCGUAAAGCGCGUGUAGGCGGCUGGGUAAGUCAGAUGUGAAAGCCUCCCGCUCAACGGGAGAAGGGCAUUUGAGACUGCUCAGCUGGAGUACGGGAGAGGAGAGUGGAAUUCCCGGUGUAGAGGUGAAAUUCGUAGAUAUCGGGAGGAACACCAGUGGCGAAGGCGGCUCUCUGGUCCGAUACUGACGCUGAGACGCGAAAGCNUGGGGAGCAAACAGGAUUAGAUACCCUGGUAGUCCACGCCGUAAACGAUGGGCACUAGGUGUAGGAGGUAUUGACCCCUUCUGUGCCGAAGCUAACGCAUUAAGUGNCCCGCCUGGGGAGUACGGCCCGCAAGGCUAAAACUCAAAAAAAUNGACGGA
rnacentral:rRNA from 1 species